GUGGCCCCAAGUCAGGCGAGGCCCA
rnacentral:rRNA from 16 species